CUCUGUGUGCUGCUCACCAGAGAGCGCAGCUGAUCUCAAAUGUGAAAUGCUUACAUCGGAAUAACACACUGGAGUGCCGCUGUGAAGGGCACACUUCUGGACAAUAGCCAAUCAGAUUUUUUUUUUUUUUCUCCGAUAGAGGAAGAGGAGGAGCAAUGUGGAACCUGAGGAGGCGGGGCCACCAAGUUAUGCAGCUGGGGUUCUGGCCCCAGCAGUGCUUCAGAGAAAGCUUUAAAGUAAUUCAGCGUCUUCGAUACAGGUUGGCGCUUUUCCUCCCUCUUCAGACUGGAAGAUCAAUAACUUUAACACCCAUGAUGUCACUUCCGGUGUCCAUCCACCUGGACCCGCUUCUUCCUGUCAGAAGUCCUUACAAAGGGAAGAUCUGCCAUCUUGUGCAGUGAAGAUUUAGACUAACAUCUGCAAAGACGUACUUUUUGAAUGCCGUUUAUGAAGCUGCAUUUUAUUUCAUUUCAAAUGAUGCAUAUUCUCUGUUUACUUUCUUACAAUUCUUUCAUUAUUCUGUACUUUGGUCACAUUUUGAGGAACUUACACCAUCACUGUCCUGAACUGGGAGUUCCAACCACUAAAGAGUUCCAAACACUUCCAAUAAUGUCCACUAGAGAGGGAUAUCACCACCGAACCUUAACUAGUAAUAAGGGGCAAGUACAGAAUCUUUAUAAAAUAAAAAGGUUAAUUUCACAAAAGGCUCUGAAAAUACAUGAAGGUCUGUAGAGCACACUAGGCAAAAAGGAGUUGCCAUCAUAAAAUGCAAACAAUAUGAAAUCCCAAGAAUAUUUGAAAUACAGAGCAAAAAAUCCAACGUAUCCCAAAAAAGCACAUAAUUGAACCAGAAAACGCUCACCAAACUCUCAAGCAAGCUCAAAACAAAUUGCUAGAAACUGGGAGAUUUUCUGGAUUUACAGGGCAUGUGGCAGAUUCUGGCGGUGACUGGCAGGUGGACCUGUCUCUUGGGGGACCACCCAUAAAACACAUGGAACAUAACACAGGAAGCUUACAUACAUAAACAAAAUUAAAAUGUACAUAUUCAACAAAAGUAUCAUUAGUAUUGGCAAAUAAAAGUAACAAAAACGGUCAUAAAACAUACAUUUGAACCUCCAGCCAGAAAGGAACCCUGGCUGAGAUAUGACAGACACCAUUUUGUUUUUCUUUUCAGUGCUUCAAUUUAGAGAAAAUCAUGUACUGUAGCUAGUCACGUCACUAAUACGUGACCACCAGAAGUCACAACACAUGAUGUCACUGUUGAAAUGGUAUAAAGGUCAGUGUGUCGCACAUUCCCUGGUCGUCCAAGAUUCUAGAUAAUCUCAAAAUAUUUAUGUGGCAAUUAGUGUAGUGUUGAAAAACGAUUUAAAGGCCUUGACUUUUCUUGGGUGUUUCCCUGACUUACAUUUUGCUUUACUUAUUGGACUCUGGUGUUUCUGGCUCCUUUUGUUUUUAGAAAAUAACCUCAGCUUCCCCCUGAUUUUGAUUUAGAUAAAUAGAUAGCUAGAUAGAUAGAUAGCUAGAUAGCUAGAUAGCUAGAUAGAUAGAUAGAU